rnacentral:rRNA from 1 species
CGGGUGAGUAACGCGUGGGGAAUCUGCCUUUGAGCGGGGGACAACAUUUGGAAACGAAUGCUAAUACCGCAUAAAAACUUUAAAAACAAGUUUUAAGUUUGAAAGAUGCAAUUGCAUCACUCAAAGAUGAUCCCGCGUUGUAUUAGCUAGUUGGUGAGGUAAAGGCUCACCAAGGCGAUGAUACAUAGCCGACCUGAGAGGGUGAUCGGCCACAUUGGGACUGAGACACGGCCCAA